rnacentral:misc_RNA from 1 species
CAACCCUCAAGCCCUGCUUGGUGUUGGGGCGCCACGCGCUCAGCGUGAGCCCUGAAAAUCAGUGGCGGGCCCGCUAGGGGUUCGGGCGUAGUAGAAUCUCACCUCGCCCGGGACCCUCGGCGCGUCUCCGGCCGUGAAACCCCCCAAACUUCACAAGG